UACGUAGGGGGCGAGCGUUAUCCGGAUUCAUUGGGCGUAAAGCGCGCGUAGGCGGCCUGUUAGGUCGGGAGUUAAAUCCGGGGGCUCAACCCCCGCCCGCUUCCGAUACCGGCAGGCUUGAGUCUGGUAGGGGAAGGUGGAAUUCCCAGUGUAGCGGUGGAAUGCGCAGAUAUUGGGAAGAACACCGGUGGCGAAGGCGGCCUUCUGGGCCAGCACUGACGCUGAGGCGCGAAAGCUAGGGGAGC
rnacentral:rRNA from 1 species